rnacentral:misc_RNA from 1 species
GUAGGAGCCGGCUUGCUGGCGAUGACUGAGUGUCAGUCGACAUUGAUGUUUCUGAUACACCGCCAUCGCCAGCAAGCCGGCUCCUAC